GACGAAACGCUGGCGGCGUGCUUAAACACAUGCAAGUCGAGCGGUAAGGCCCCUUCGGGGGGUACACGAGCGGCGAAACGGGUGAGUAACACGUGGGUGACCUGCCCUCAGCUCUGGGAUAAGCCUGGGAAACUGGGUCUAAUACCGGAUAUGACUCCAUGACGCAUGUCGUGGGGUGGAAAGCCUUGUGCGGCUGGGGGAUGGGCCCGCGGCCUAUCAGCUUUGUUGGUGGGGUGAUGGCCUACCAAGGCGACGACGGGUAGCCGGCCUGAGAGGGCGACCGGCCACACUGGGACUGAGACACGGCCCAGACUCC
rnacentral:rRNA from 1 species